UAAGCGGAGGAAAAGAAACUAACAAGGAUUCCCUUAGUAACGGCGAGUGAACCGGGAAGAGCUCAAAUUUGUAAUCUGGCUGUCUUCGAUAGUCCGAGUUGUAAUCUAUAGACGUGUUUUCCGUGCUGGACCGUAUCUAAGUCCCUUGGAACAGGGUAUCAAAGAGGGUGAUAAUCCCGUGCUUGAUACGACCACCAGUGCUCUGUGAUACACGCUCUACGAGUCGAGUUGUUUGGGAAUGCAGCUCAAAAUGGGUGGUAAAUUCCAUCUAAAGCUAAAUAUUGGCGAGAGACCGAUAGCGAACAAGUACCGUGAGGGAAAGAUGAAAAGCACUUUGGAAAGAGAGUUAAACAGUACGUGAAAUUGUUGAAAGGGAAACGAUUGAAGUCAGUCGUGUUCUUCAGAUUCAGCUGGUUCUUCCAGUCUACUUCUGUUGAACGGGUCAACAUCAGUUUUGUCCGGUGGAUAAAGGUAGUAGGAAUGUGACUCCUCCGGGAGUGUUAUAGCCUAUUAUUGCAUACACUGGGUGAGACUGAGGACUGCAGCUCGCCUUUUGGCCGGUCUUCGGACACGUUCGAGCUUAGGAUGUUGACAUAAUGGCUUUNNACGACCCGUCUUGAAACACG
rnacentral:rRNA from 1 species